UACGGAGGUGGCAAGCGUUGCUCGGAAUCACUGGGCGUAAAGGGCGCGUAGGCGGGGAGGUAAGUCGGGGGUGAAAUCCCUCGGCCCAACCGAGGAACUGCGACCGAGACUGCUUCUCUUGAGUCCCGGAGAGGAAGAUGGAAUUCCCGGUGUAGCGGUGAAAUGUGUAGAGAUCGGGAGGAACACCGGUGGCGAAGGCGGUCUUCUGGACGGUGACUGACGCUGAGGCGCGAAAGCGUGGGGAGCAAACGGG
rnacentral:rRNA from 1 species